ACGUAGGUGGCGAGCGUUGUCCGGAAUUACUGGGCGUAAAGGGCGCGUAGGCGGUUUUUUAAGUUAGAUGUGAAAACCCAGGGCUUAACUUUGGGCGUGCAUUUAAAACUGGAGAACUUGAGUGCAGGAGAGGAAAGUGGAAUUCCUAGUGUAGCGGUGAAAUGCGUAGAGAUUGGGAGGAACACCAGUGGCGAAGGCGACUUUCUGGACUGUAACUGACGCUGAGACGCGAAAGCGUGGGGAGCAAACAG
rnacentral:rRNA from 1 species